UUACCCCGAGCGCCAUUUCACCGAGGCUCCCCCCCGGCGCCUGAUCCGGCGCUUCCGGCGCCGCCUGCGCCGAAUCUCCCGGCAAAUCCGCGCCCGCAACCGCGGCCUGGAGCGGCCCUACCCCUACCUGGACCCCGCCAACAUCGAGAACAGCGUGGCCAUCUGAGACAGCCGGAAAACACCCGGAAAACACCCGGAAAUACACCCAGAAACACCCUGAAAACACCCGGAAAUACACCCAGAAACAGCCCGAAAACACCCGAAGAUACACCCCGAAAACACCCGGAAAUACACCCAGAAACACCCGGAAAUACACCCAGAAAUACACCCAGAAACAGCCCGAAAACACCCAGAAACAACCCAAAAACACCCAGAAAUACACCCAGAAACAGCCCGGAAACACCCAGAAAUACACCCGGAAAUACCCAAAAAUACCCCAAAAUUGCUGGUCUGUACUGGGAGCCGUUACUGGGAUUUAUUAACCCUUACUGGUCUGUACUGGUCUGUACUGGGAGCUGUUACUGGUCUAUACUGGUCUGUACUGGGAGCUGUUACUGGUCUAUACUGGGAGCUGUUACUGGUCUGUACUGGGAGCUGUUACUGGUCUGUACUGGGAGCUGUUACUGGGAGUUAUUAACCCUUACUGGUCUGUACUGGGAGCUGUUACUGGUCUGUACUGGUCUGUACUGGGAGCUGUUACUGGGAUUUAUUAACCCUUACUGGUCUGUACUGGGAGCUGUUACUGGUCUGUACUGGGAGCUGUUACUGGUCUAUACUGGUCUGUACUGGGAGCUGUUACUGGUCUGUACUGGGAGCUGUUACUGGUCUGUACUGGUCUAUACUGGUCUGUACUGGUGUCAAUAAAGGUGUCAAUGGAGCAGUGGCUGUGUGGGGGAAGGGUACUGGGGUGUACUGGGACAUACUGGGGCAUACUGGGGUGUACUGGGACAUACUGGGACAUACUGGGACAUACUGGGGUGUACUGGGACAUACUGGGACAUACUGGGACAUACUGGGACAUACUGGGACAUACUGGGACAUACUGGGGUGUACUGGGACAUACUGGGGCAUACUGGGGUGUACUGGGACAUACUGGGACAUA
rnacentral:lncRNA from 1 species